GGGGAAGUGUCGGAAUGGGUAGACGAGCGUGACUUAGGAUCACGUGCCGCGUUGCGGCGUGCGGGUUCGAGUCCCGCCUUCCCCACCA
rnacentral:tRNA from 1 species